CCACGACCCGCACGCAUGAACAAGCGAGGCCUCCAGGGUGCCCUUGAGCGAGAACCACUCGCACGCAUGACUCGCACAACAUAUCCCAUCGCUGCCGCCCUCGCACUCACAUCAAGCCACCGCUGAUCCCUGUGCUACCUCGAUGGGAGCCAUCGCAAACCCAUCCCUUCGCCGCCGCCCUGUGCCACGAAAGUCUCCACCAGCACCGCGACGGGCGUGGCCUCCACACGCGCCGUCACCGCCCCUCCAGAUUUGGUCGUCGUCAAGGGCGUAUCCAUCCAACAGCGUCACCUCCCCUCCAGAUCCGACCGUUGUCAAGGCUGUAUCCAUCCAGCAGUGCGCCGUCAUCCCAAUCAUCACCGUCCACGGCGUCAUCGCCCAGGCCUAGUCUGGGGCCGGCAAGACGUCCAUGAUCUCCCUCUUUGUCUGCCAGGUUAUCGAGACCAACGUCCACGAGGUGUAGGCAUUAGCGACGACAUGGACAGGGGCUUCACUGACAGGAAGAACUUGCUCAUGGACCGCAGGACCAUGGCUCCCAAGAUCGACGACCUCAGUUUCUUACUCGAGGUACCGACCCUGAGGUCCUUCUUGGUGCCACAUGUGAUUUGUGGGCUGCACUUUUGAAUUUGGUAUGAUGAACUGGACUUUGUAAAUGAGCACAUACAUACACUGAACUCCAGAUAAAUGGCAGCUGAAUUUCAAGUACAGGGGACUCUUCUGCCCGAUCACAGUUUUCACACAUUAAUAACUAUAUGGCUCCAUCAGCAUGAAUUCAUUUUUCGGGGGAAAAUUUAAGUGCACAUAGCUGCAAAGAUGUGAAGACCCAUAUCGGUCUUGUUUGAUAUUCUUUGAGUUGGUUUAGAUAGAGAUAAGUGACCUCUUUCAUGUCAAGUGCAUGCGCCAUUUACUA